UACGGGGGGGGCAAGCGUUGUUCGGAAUUACUGGGCGUAAAGGCUCGUAGGUGGCCAACUAAGUCAGACGUGAAAUCCCUCGGCUUAACCGGGGAACUGCGUCUGAUACUGGAUGGCUUGAGUUUGGGAGAGGGACGCGGAAUUCCAGGUGUAGCGGUGAAAUGCGUAGAUAUCUGGAGGAACACCGGUGGCGAAGGCGGCGUCCUGGGACCAACACUGACACUGAGGAGCGAAAGCCAGGGGAGCAAACGGGAUAGAUACCCGUUGUAAGUCC
rnacentral:rRNA from 1 species